rnacentral:rRNA from 1 species
ACGCACGCUGGCGGCGUGCUUAACACCUGCAAGUCGAACGGUGAAGCAGAGCUUGCUCUGUGGAUCAGUGGCGAACGGGUGAGUAACACGUGAGUAACCUGCCCUUGACUCUGGGAUAAGCGUUGGAAACGACGUCUAAUACCGGAUACGAGCUGAGACCGCAUGGUCAUCAGUUGGAAAGAUUUUUUGGUCAAGGAUGGACUCGCGGCCUAUCAGCUUGUUGGUGAGGUAAUGGCUCACCAAGGCGACGACGGGUAGCCGGCCUGAGAGGGUGACCGGCCACACUGGGACUGAGACACGGCCCAGACUCCUACGGGAGGCAGCAGUGGGGAAUAUUGCACAAUGGGCGCAAGCCUGAUGCAGCAACGCCGCGUGAGGGAUGACGGCCUUCGGGUUGUAAACCUCUUUUAGUAGGGAAGAAGCGAAAGUGACGGUACCUGCAGAAAAAGCACCGGCUAACUACGUG